ACAAGAACAACAAUAAGCAAUGACACACUCUAAUAAAAACAAGAUGACACGGCUCACGCAUAACAAGAACAACACGGCGGAGGCGCAGCUAACUGAUUCUUUUGGAGAGGCGUUGUAAUUGGGGCUAGCCCCACACCCAGGCAAAGACCAAUAAAAACUGCACUGAAAAGCAGAACGGCAUGGGAUGAAAGCAACUCAGCGACCAAAGCAAUCCGUUUGCUCUUGCUCCCGGUUAGGGAGCAGCCCACUGGCGAAGGCCACGCGGGCAGGGCGUUAACAAAAACAAGAAGCCCGAACAAAAAAACAAGAAGAGCAUGCAACUACAUUCCUUGGGGAGCUUCGGCUCCCCUUGUAGUUUCCACGUUUCGUCCCCCUCGUUGCG
rnacentral:sRNA from 1 species